GGGCGGCAAGGGGGAGCGAUCUUCCUUAGAGCGGCGGACUGGUGAGUAACGCGUGGGUGACNUACCCCGAGGAUUGGGAUAGCNUNUAGAAAUAGGGGGUAAUACCGGAUACGGUUGUUUCACGACGGUGGGACAAAGAAAGGAGCUUUGGCUCCGCCUUGGGAUGGGCCCGCGUCCCAUUAGGUAGUUGGUGAGGUAACGGCCCACCAAGCCUGGGAUGGGUAGCCGGCCUGAGAGGGUGAACGGCCACACUGGGACUGAGAUACGGCCCAGACUCCUACGGGAGGCAGCAGCUAAGAAUAUUCCGCAAUGGUCGAAAGACUGACGGAGCGACGCCGCGUGGAUGAUGAAGGCCGAAAGGUUGUAAAAUCCUUUUGUUGCUGAAGAAUAAGCUUUGCAGGGAAUGGCAGGGCGAUGAUGUUAGGAAAGGCAUAAGCNCC
rnacentral:rRNA from 1 species